AAGACUAGAUAGAUCAGAUGAGAGCUUGUCAAAACCAGGAGCAGAAUCAGCAGAAGCAAUGUGCAAUGAAACUUCGUUAGAGGUGAUAUUUUCCAUACGCUGGACGAAAAUACGUCUAGGAUGCAAUGAGUCAUAAUAGGUAUCUUGCUUAGCUAAGAUGAAUGAACUAAAGCCAACGACAAAAAUGGAGAAAAGAAGGCCAAGUCGGAAGCAGCAGCGAGAACGGAACCUCUGGAUCCAAGGGGACAUUAAAGGGAAGUAAAUGUU